UGAGCUUGAUCCUGGCUCAGGAUGAACGCUAGCGGCAGGCCUAAUACAUGCAAGUCGAACGAUACCAAGAGGCUUGCUUCUUGGAAAAGUGGCGCACGGGUGCGUAACGCGUAUGCAACCUACCUUAAUCAGGGGGAUAGCCCGAAGAAAUUCGGAUUAACACCGCAUAAAAACACAGAGUAGCAUUACUCAAUGUUCAAAUAUUUAUAGGAUUAAGAUGGGCAUGCGUGUCAUUAGCUGGUUGGCGGGGUAACGGCCCACCAAGGCGACGAUGACUAGGGGAUCUGAGAGGAUGACCCCCCACACUGGUACUGAGACACGGACCAGACUCCUACGGGAGGCAGCAGUAAGGAAUAUUGGUCAAUGGAGGCAACUCUGAACCAGCCAUGCCGCGUGCAGGAAGACGGCCCUAUGGGUUGUAAACUGCUUUUAUCCGGGAAUAAACCUCUGCUCGUGAGCAGAGCUGAAUGUACCGGAAGAAUAAGGAUCGG
rnacentral:rRNA from 1 species